rnacentral:misc_RNA from 1 species
GUCCUUGGUCAUGAAUUUCUUCUGCUAUUUCUUGAAUCUGGAACUGUUAGAUCCUUGGGAAUGGCUGUGCGGUAAUUCCUCCUCUUUUCUUGAAACUAGAAGUUCUUCUAAAUUUCCCUUUGUACUUGCUAAUCUUUCUAUUCCUUUUUCUCUUUUUCUCGGUCUUGCCUUAUUUCUUUCUUUGUCAUCUCUAAAUCUGUUUUUCCCUUUCUAUUCUAUUCCUCUACCUUAUUCUCUCUUUUCCUUAUUUUCUUGGUUAUCGAACAGAGCCAACAAUACUUGGCUAUGGCGGACGGGAUCGGUUCACACGAAUUGGAAAGAAAAGUUAUAACUAUUACGCAAGACUUUGAGUUACGGCAAGAAACUCUGAGGAAAGAAGCAGAGCAGCGUAAUCAAGAAGCUUUAGAUGAAAUUAAACUUUACUUAAAAGGUUUAGCUUGCAAAAUAUGCAAAUCGCUGGUGGGGAAAAUGCAGAUGAAGGUGCAAGAACAACGAAAGAAGGAACUCCAAGAAUUAAUCAUCCAUGGGCAUGGGAGCGUUUCUCUAAGCUAGACUGUCCUUGCUUUGAUGGGGAGAGGCUGGAGGAAUGGUUACUGCAACCGGAAGAUCCAUUAAUGGACUUAAGGAAUUUGAAUCGAGAAUCUACCUUGCAAGAUUAUUG